rnacentral:rRNA from 1 species
UACAGAGGGUGCAAGCGUUAAUCGGAAUUACUGGGCGUAAAGCGCGCGUAGGUGGUUUGGUAAGUCGGAUGUGAAAUCCCCGGGCUCAACUUGGGAAUUGCGCUUGUAACUGGCAAGCUAGAGUGUGGCAGAGGGGGGUGGAAUUCCACGUGUAGCAGUGAAAUGCGUAGAUAUGUGGAGGAACACCGAUGGCGAAGGCAGCCCCCUGGGUUAACACUGACGCUCAUGCACGAAAGCGUGGGGAGCAAACAGG